rnacentral:lncRNA from 1 species
AUAUGAAUAGGCUUCUUGAGCCUUGUGAAGAGUGAAUCCCAGGUGGGGUAAUUCUCACCACUGAGGAGAAAGAAUUUUUUGAAGAGGGCUGCAGAUCCGGUUGGAUAUGAAUACAGAUAUCACUCAAAGUCUGAAUGCAAUGAAUUCUAUUUCAAAGCAACAACUUUCAUAUUUCCUUAAAGAGGAAGAACCAUAUCUGGUGUGACAACAAUUUGAAAAGCGCCACCCAUCCUCUCUGAGACCACAAACAGCGCUGAAGGCAGUGAACCAAGACUUACAAACAAGGGUGUAGACCAAGGAAAAUGCUGGGGGCCAGAGGAGGAGAAAGCAAGAAGAUAGAAACACCAUAGUUUCAAGAGGGAGGGGAGCAGAAAGCCGCCAGCUCUCCAAAAAACAAGAAGCAAAACCCAGAACUCAAACCUCAUGAAAGUAUCACGAGGUUGAAGCCUUUAAAAGGUGUUUUUACAGCAGAUUUUAGAGACUUCUCACCUUACCAACGGUUAUAAACCCGUAUCCUUGCAAAUUCAGCAGUAGAGUCAUUAGAUUGCCCUCUCAGCCUCUGCACGUGAAGGGUCUCAGGGCUUUUCAGGACAUCUUUAGGGUCAGGUUUCGUGAAAUAGGUAGGUUGGGCCAGCUUUCUGGGGACUCUAAGCAACCUUGGAGAAAAUGGGCAGGAGUAAAUAAAGGUAUGCCAGCUUGCUUUUUCCAGUGGGGACUUGGCAAAUGCCAAAAACAGUAUAAAUAUUAUAUUCCCAUCUUCUAAUA